rnacentral:rRNA from 1 species
UACGUAGGGGGCAAGCGUUGUCCGGAAUCAUUGGGCGUAAAGAGCGUGUAGGCGGUCCGUUAAGUCGGCUGUGAAAGUCCAGGGCUCAACCCUGGGAUGCCGGCCGAUACUGGCGGACUAGAGUCCGGAAGAGGUGAGUGGAAUUCCCGGUGUAGCGGUGAAAUGCGCAGAUAUCAGGAAGAACACCCGUGGCGAAGGCGGCUCUCUGGUACGUGACUGACGCUGAGACGCGAAAGCGUGGGGAGCGAACAGG